UAUGAAAUUUGUGAAUAAACCCGUAGCGAUAGGUAAAGGAUAAUGUUUUCGAUUUUACCAUGGCCAUGGUAAAAAUUACAACAUAGAAAAAAAGCUCAAGCUCAUCCCUGUGGAAGACGCCAUUUUUGUCUAUCGGUUCUUUUGCGGUUCUUUUUCCAUCUAACCGAUGGAUAAUUUAUUUUGUUAUUGGAGGCAAACAAUAGUUCUCAUUUCAAAUUUAAAUAAAACCUUGAAGUAACGACAACCCAGAGAUACUUGAGGAUCAAGAUAUUGGCGCCCGUGGUAAAAAAUCCUAGAAAAUGAAUGUUGGGAAAUGGCUUCCCUAUGGUACUGGAAUGGCCCCCAGUGUUCGUACGCCGGUAGCCGUAGCUUUUUGACGGUCAUCACAUCCAACGAGCCGGGCAUAGUAGUCUGCUAAGCACCAAUUGCACCGACUAUGGAUGAAAACAGUUCUAUUAGUGGCCUAGGAAGAUCUCCAAGUUCUGGAGCAGUCACGAGCAGAUCAACGCGUCACUGCACAACCGGACCGAAGAGGUGUGGAUAAAUUAUCAUAAACUUAAAAAUAUAAUUAAGCAAAAUUGAUUAACUUAAAAUUUAUAUUUAAUUCAAUAUAUACGCAUUAUGCUUCAAA